CCCUGCAACACCUGUGCCCUGCCCUCUCUAAACCUUCCUGUGGGCCCCACUGAGACACUGCUUGCUCUGUGAGGGCCCCCAGGGCUCUGGUUGUGCCCCUCUCAAAGCUCCUGACACCCCAGCCUGAAGGUGACCAUGCCUAUGCAGGCAGAAGAGGCCCUCAGAGCAGAUAGAGAUUUGCCCUGGUUGGUCCAAAUGUCACAAGGCCCCCAAACCAACAGGGCUGUCAAAAGUCCUUUGGGGGGCGGUCCCAGGGAAUGUCUCCCUGAGCCCAGACCCACUGCCAGCUCCCGCUGCCCCAACCCCACCCUGGCACCCCCAUCAGGCUGC
rnacentral:lncRNA from 1 species